UAACACAGUGUUUUUUUAUUUGAUAAAAGUUAUCUGCAAAAUUAUACAUAAUCACUAGCUUUUUUGUUGUUUGUUUUUGGUAAAGACAGAGUCUUGCUUUAUUUCCCAGGCUGCAGUGCAGUGGUCCCAUCUUGGCUCACUGCAGCCUCCGCCGCUCAGGUUCAAGCGAUUGUGGUGCCUCAGCCUCUUAAGUAGCUGGGAUUACAGGAGUAUGCCACCAUGCCUGGCUAAUUUUUUUUGUAUUUUUAGUAGCGAUGGGGUUUUGCCAUAUUGGCUGGUCUCGAACUCUGACUUCAAGUUAUCCGCCCAC
rnacentral:lncRNA from 10 species